ensembl:lncRNA
GAGUCAUUAAUGACAUAAUUUUCAUUUUUGGCUGAACUAAGGCUUUAAGGCCUGGGUACACUUCACAUUCAGCGUUCCAUUUCGUCUCGCGCACAGCCGCGUCCGCACAGCUUUCAAAAGUAUACUCAACCGCAGAUGACCGUGGACGGAUGAACUCGACACAUUCGCAGUACCACGGGGUGAGCGGCUGUCCACGAGCCCUCUUCAUUACGAAAAUAACGUAAUGCUGAAGAUGCGCAGACGGCCGAAAUAUACUCUGGCCUUUACUUGAUCGGCAACCGGCCGUUUUUUGCCUUAUUGCAACUCUCUGUUCUGGAUAAUAUCUGGGUGAGCUGUCUCUCUCACUCACUCACAACCCUCUACGGACACCUUGGCAAUUGAAUCGCCAUUGGCUAAUAUUAGACAUCAUUUAGUUGCCGGAAUGAAGAUUUAGUCGCAUAUGCGAUUGAUUCACUCACAAUGUAGAGGGUUGACUCAUGCGGCUCUCUUACCGUCACUGUGUGCAGGAGGUGUUCCACUCACGGCUGCUGAAGGAGGAAGAGGAGGUGUUCCUCUCACGGCCGCUGGAGGAGGAAGAGGAGGACCGAAUGCAGGAGGAGGAAGAGGAGGUGUUCCUCUCACAGCCGCUGGAGGAGGAAGAGGAGGACCGAAUGCAGGAGGAGGAAGAGGAGGUGUUCCUCUCACAGCCGCUGGAGGAGGAAGAGGAGGUCCGGCCCCUUGAGGAGGAGGACCAAAUGUCUGAGGGGGAGUCAUAACAUUCAGCGCAGGAGGAGCUACACGUCAGAAGAGGAGAAAGCAGAACAUCAAUGAGCAUUACACAACACUAUCAAGGAAUAAAGCUAUUCACUCUGCAUAAUCUGAACCAGCUUUGGCUUCACCAUCUCAUUCAAACGGUCCUGCAGUGAAUGAAAAGGAACUUCUAAAAGCAGAAAUACUACAUGCAGCUCAAUUAACGUGAGGUCAUUAAAUAAUAACAGCAGAAUCAGAGUGACCAAGUUGUGCCAAUUAUUCAAUGAGGUUUCAUUUAUGUCAUGAAUAACAAGUUCAGUUGAGGUCAAAAGUUUACACCCUCCUUUCAGAAUCUGCUAAAUGUUAAUUAUUUUACCAAAAUAAGAGGGAUCAUACAAAAUGCAUGUUAUUGUUUAUUUAGUACUGACCCGAAUAAGAUAUUUCACAUAAAAGAUGUUUACAUAUAGUCCACAAGAGAAAAUAAUAGUUGAAUUUAUAAAAAUGACCCCGUUCAAAAGUUUACAUCCCCUUGAUUUUUAACACUGUGUUGUUAGCUGAUUGAUCCACAGCUGUGUUUUUGUGUUUAGUGACAGUUGUUCAUGAGUCCCUUGUUUGUGCUGAACAGUUAAACUGUCUGCUGUUCUUCAGAAAAAUACUUCAGCUCCCACAAAUUCUUUGGUUUUCCAGCAUUUUUGAGUAUUUGAACCCUUUCCAGCAGUGACUGUAUGAUUUUGAGAUCCAUCUUUUCACACUGAGGACAACUGAGGGACUCAAACUCAACUAUUACAGAAGGUUCAAACACUCACUGAUGCUCCAGAAGAAGAAACCAUGCAUUAAAAGCAUGUAGCUUCUAAAGGGCAGUAUGAACUGUAUAUGGAUGCUCAUGCAAAUAGAGUAGCACUAAAGAGCAUUCAUCAAGCUGGAAAUGUUCAUCUACUCAUGUAUGUUAAUUUGAGUGCAGAUAAACAGUGACGAGGUGCUAUCUGCGUGUGAGUGAGUGUGUGAGAGGGCGUGAGGGUUUGUAUGUGUGUGUGUGAGUGUGCGCGUGCGUUAAUGUGUGUGUGAGAGAGUGUGUGUGCACGAGUGUGUGCGUGUGAGUCCAUGCGUGUGAGAGUGUGAAUGAGUGCGCGUGUGAAUGAGUGCGCGUGUGAGCGAGUGAGUGAGUGAGUGAGUGUGCGUGUGAGUGCACGUGUGUGAGUGAUUGUGCAUGUGAGUGAGUGAGUGAGCGUGCGUAAGUGAGUGAGUGUGCGCGAGUGAGUGAGUGUGCACAUGUGAGUGAGUGAGAGCGCGUGUGAGUGAGUGUGAGUGUACGUGUGAGUGUACGUGUGUGAGUGAGUGAGCGUGUGAGUGAGUGAGUGUGCACGUGUGAGUGAGUGAGUGUGUGAGCGAGAGUGUGCACGUGUGAGUGAGUGAGCGCGUGUGUGUGAGUGAGUGAGCACGUGUGAGUGAGCGAGUGUGCGCGUGAGUGAGUGACUGUGCACGAGUGAGUAACUCUGUGUGUGUGUGUGCGCGAGUGAGUGAGUGACUGUGUGUGUGUACGCACGCGUGAGUGUGUGAGUGCGUGAGUGUAUGAGUGAGUGAUUGUGUGUGCAUGAGUGAGUGUGCGCGUGAGUGAGUGACUGUGCACGAGUGAGUAACUCUGUGUGUGUGUGUGUGCGCGAGUGAGUGAGUGACUGUGUGUGUGUGUACGCACGCGUGAGUGUGUGAGUGCGUGAGUGAGUGUGUGCAUGAGUGAGUGAGUGAGUGUGUGCGUGUGAGUGAGUGAGUGUGCACAUGUGAUUGAGUGAGCGAGCGCGUGUGAGUGAGUGUGAGUGUACGUGUGAGUGUACGUGUGUGAGUGAGUGAGCGUGUGAGUGAGUGAUUGUGCGUGUGUGAGUGAGCGAGUGUGCACGUGUGAGUGAGUGAGCGUGUGUGUGUGUGUGAGUGAGUGUGCACGUGUGAGUGAGUGUGCGCGUGUGUGUGAGUGAGUGAGUGUGCGCGUGUGAGUGAGUGAGUGUGCGCGUGUGAGUGAGUGUGCGCGUGUGACUGAGUGUGUGCGUGUGACUGUGUGUGCGUGAGUGUGUGUGCAUGAGUGAGUGAGUGUGUGUGUGCGUGAGUGAGUGAGUGAGUGUGUGCGUGAGUGUGUGUGCAUGAGUGAGUGAGUGUGUGUGUGCGUGAGUGAGUGAGUGAGUGUGUGUGUGCGCGUGAGUGAGUGAGUGUGUGUGUGUGUUUAAUGCAUAUGAAUAAUAUUAAUGAUUUUAUUUGAGUCCAUGUGUCAGUGUGUGUUCUUUCUGCGUUACUCUGCAACUUCAACUCAGAUUUUGGUUAUGAAAGUGUCUCAACUUUUCUGAUCCUGAUUUAGUCUAAGCCUUGGCUGAGAAACCAGGCCCAGAUCUGAGAUUAAUAAAUACUUAAAUCAUAAAAGAGUUUCUUCUGCUCACCAAGGCUGCAUUUAUUUGAUCAAGUACAGUAGGAACAGUGAAUUAUUAUUACACUUCAGAAAAACUUUUCUAUGUGAAUCUCUGUUAAACUGUAAUGUAUUUCUG